rnacentral:rRNA from 1 species
CCUACGGGUGGCAGCAGUGAGGAAUAUUGGUCAAUGGACGAGAGUCUGAACCAGCCAAGUAGCGUGAAGGAUGACUGCUCUAUGGGUUGUAAACCUCUUUUAUAAAGGAAUAAAGCGCGGCACGUGUCCCUUUUUGCAUGUACCUUAUGAAUAAGGAUCGGCUAACUCCGUGCCAGCAGCCGCGGUAAUACGGAGGAUCCGAGCGUUAUCCGGAUUUAUUGGGUUUAAAGGGAGCGUAGAUGGGUUGUUAAGUCAGUGGUGAAAGUUUGUGGCUCAACCAUAGAAUUGCAAUUGAUACUGGCAGUCUUGAGUACAGUUGAGGUAGGCGGAAUUCGUGGUGUAGCGGUGAAAUGCUUAGAUAUCACGAAGAACCCCGAUUGCGAAGGCAGCUUGCUAAGCUAUGACUGACGUUGAUGCUCGAAAGCGUGGGUAUCAAACAGGAUUAGAUACCCUAGUAGUC